CAUUUUGUUUCUUUCUCUCAAUGCAACAUGGUUCCUGCUCCAUCAAAAUUCUCCUCUCCUAUAAGAUCUGUUUCCUCUCCACGUUUCCUUUCAUUUAUACCCACCAGUGCUCAACAAACUGUUUUCCCUCUACCCCUUUUGUUUUUUCUUGUUCUCCUGCUUCUUUUCUGUUUCUUUCUUCUUUUUAUCUAUACCGCUCCCCUUAUCUGUUUUUUUUAUUUUUCUUAUAGUUUCUUGGGUUUAUCUUGUUCUCCAUCUCUCUUUUCGUGUAAAUAUUCGCGUUCUUAAUAUCCCGACUUGAACUUUUCUUCCUUUUCAAAUUUUUUAUUUCCUUCUUCUCUACUUCUUUCUCCUAUAUUAUUGCCCUUUCCUACCCUUCUUGCACUUUUCUCCUAUCUUGUACCCAUUCCCCUUUCUCAAUUUCCACUCUUCUUUUCUUUAAACCAUUUUUUUUUAACCUAUAGCUUUAAUUUCAGAUAUUAUAUUCUUCCUUGCGCAUCACUUCAAAUUAUUUUUCUUUUCUUUCCCCUCCAAGUGUUUCAAUUUCCUGUUUUUACCUUCGUCAUAUUCCGUUUUUUCCCUCUUUUCAUUUUUUUCUUCCUUUCAAAUUAUACAAAACUAAUUUUUUAUUCAUCUCCUUUGAAUAAUUUUCUCCUCUAAUUCAAUAUGCCUCCUUUAAAUAAUUUGGACCGUAAUAAUUUCUCGUUAUCAACCCCUGACGAACCUUGGGAUCGUCUUCCGUCGCCCCUUGAUCCUCGUCCAUUAUCCCCCCCUCAACCACCCUAUAGCCCUAUUUCUCCAAACCCCCUGCCCCCUUAUCGUCCUCCUUCCCCGGCUAUCCCAUUAAACUUGUCCAAUCAUUCUCCUCCUCCUUCUCCGCCUCCUGCUCCAAAUUAUUCCCUAAGAGCCUGUUCCAGAUCCCCCCUAUCAUCCCCUCCUACUCUUCAUCUACCAAAUCCCCCUCAAUCUACUCCGCCUUCUGUCACUGUGAGUUCUUUAAAUCUCACUAUUUUAUUGGGUUCUAUCCCUUUGGUUCCAGAACCUUUCGAACCCUCUCUACUUCCCUUUCCUGAAGUUCGACAUUGUGAAAUCUGUUCUACAAUUCCUCAGGUUGUUUCUUUCUUUAAUUAUUCAUAUUCUAUACCUACGCUCAAAAUACUUUAACCGAAAGAGGUUGCGCGAUUUUUUGUCGAGCCUUUCUCCAGCUUUCUUUAAGUGUACACUAUAGACACAACUGUAAACAAUACCUAUUCAUUUUCCGAUUCUAACAAUGGCUGAAUUUUGUUUUUGUUUUCUGUUUUUCAUCAGGAUGUUUCUGGUCCCAGCACUCCUUCUCACCUUCACCAUCCCGCUCAGCACCCAAACUUUAAACUUUGUUUUUGAGGAUACUCCGAUUCAACUUCCUACAGACCUCUCCACAGCAUGUUUAACAGUACAGAAACACCUGUCUUGACCAGAGACGGAAUAUUUGUCCCAAACUCAUAUCAAAUAGACCUACUGUCACCUCUGCCACAAGAACUACCCUCUCCGCCCAUACCACGGUCAACUAAAGGUCCUGCUCUCAUACAAAGUGCCUCCCAGUUCUGCAGAGCACCUGUCACCUACAUAUCUUUGAAUGCUGGCGCCAGAAAUCCCUUACAUUUUAUAAAACAACUUUCUUUUGCAUGCUUUUACACUUUCGCCUAUAACUUUCAUUUGUAUUAUUAUAUUUCAUUAUUCGUUUGCUAUCAGUCCUUAAUCUUGAUCUUUAUAAUUAAAGGCUACACGUAAAAAUAUUUCCAGUAAAAACAAUUGACAAAUAUUUA
rnacentral:lncRNA from 1 species